rnacentral:lncRNA from 1 species
UCAUUUUAUUUCUCUUUUAUAUAUUUCUCGUAUUUGCAUAACUUAUUUUAUAUUAUCGCAUUUUAAAUAUUAUAUGAAUACCUUGAUAUUUCUAUUUUUAUCUAUAUAUAUACCUUAUGUUUUGAUUUAUUUUGCAUUUUCUAUUUUUAGUUGUUUAUUUAUUUAGCAGUCUAAUAUUUAAUUUUCGUUUUAUUUUUAUUUUUAUUUUUG